CCGUCUCCGAUCGCCACUGUCUUCCUCCGACUUCGAUCUCUAUCGUCUUCCUCCGUCUCCGAUCUCAAUCGUCUUCCUCCGACUCCGAUUAACCUCGUUGUCUUCCGACUCCGAUUGUCCUUAUUCCUCCAUUUCGGAUCGAUAUUGUCUUCCUCAUUCUCCAAUUGAAAUCGCCAGUCCUCUCAAUCUCCAAUCGAUCCCUCAUCGAUUCUUUGUGUCUGAUGGAUCUAUGUUCUUUUAUGCUCCUUCUCUCCUCAGUUUUCAAAUUAUGGAGCGAUAUCUUAUCUCAAGCCCCAACUCCAAACCCUAGAACAUAGUUUCAUCUUCCUGUUUACUUCAUCCUCUUCUGCAUUUCAGUGAGGAUUUUAGGGACUAUGCUGAACUUUGCUUCAAGGAUUACUUUGAAUGAACCAAGAUGUGUACGAAUGGCUAUGCAAACAAAUGGUUUUCACUUGGGCGAUGUUUAGAUUGGUUGAAAAUGAAUCGCAAGGAGGUGAUCCGGGGACAUAACCAUAUUUGACUUUGCACUACCAGCUUCUUACUCAUGCAACUGUUUCAAAACUGCACUAGACUAAGCAUCUCAAAAGGGUUUACUAGUGAUUACCUUAAUCUCUGAUUGGUUUGGGCCUGUCUCUAAAGAGAUGUCAAAUUGUGAUGCGGCACAACGAGCCCUCGACUUCAUGUUUGGAUGGUAAAGAUUAAUCUUGACUAUUUCAAGCUCAACAAGAGAGAUUAUGUUCAGAAUAUGGUUGGAAUUGUGUCUCUUGAUCAGGCAAUUCAAAUGGCUGAAGAUGCCGAAGUCAACUUGGUAUGGCAACCUUUUCAUAUUGUAUAUUUGGCCGUAUAUGUUCUAUUGUUCUUCCAUUGAAUUUAGUUACAAUUACUCAGCAAAAUACAUGUAAUUUUCACUUUGUAUAGCUAUUAGCUAUUGUUAACUAUGUCGCUAUUAUACUUGUUUAUUUACACCGCAUUUUGUAGUUUGGACUUAGGACAUGAUUACAAUUAAAAAGAUUAGAAACCGAAACAGGGAGAGUUUAAUAAGUUUUUACUUAGACGGUCUGUUUAAAAGUAUUGCAACUGCAACGGAUAGAUUAGAGAGCCAUUUCUAGUUUUUUUUGUUGUUGAAAACCCAACUGUUUAAAAUUCGUUCUCAGUAUAUUCAUUCAGCAUACAUUCCUUUUCUAGUGGCAUUUGAGUAUAUAUUAUUUAUGAUAUGGCGCGAAUGCAUAGCCUUGCUUUCUCUCUACUUUUCUUUCCUCUGCAGGUAAUAGUAUCUGCGAAGGCAGAUCCUCCUGUGGUUAGAAUAAUGAAUUACAGGUUUGGUUAGGACUGAUGAAUACAAGGCAGCUCAUUCAGGAGAAGAAAAUCAACAACAAUCACUAAAAUAAGGAAUUGAUGCAAACAAUACAAGAAAAUUUACUGGAGGAACUUAUGGAGUUUCAAAUAGUGAGAAGAUGUGUGCCUCUACUUUUGAUUCUUUCUCACACUCUUCUCAUCCACCUACUAACAACUCAACUUAAGUAUCUUCAAGUAUCUUCAAGUGAAGGAUCCCAUGCUAGAAGAAAAGUUGUAUUUGUUAAGGCAGCCAUUAACACGUAAGGUUCUCAUGACUUAUAAAUACUUUGUUGGAAACGGAAGUUGAUAUGAAACAUGAGUUGUGAUUUAUGAAUUUUACAUAAAAUAGAAUAUUAUUGUGAUGUAUAU